rnacentral:rRNA from 1 species
GCCAGACUCCUACGGGAGGCAGCAGUGGGGGAUAUUGCACAAUGGGGGGAACCCUGAUGCAGCGACGCCGCGUGGGUGAAGGAGCGUUUCGGCGCGUAAAGCCCUAUCGGCAGGGAAGAAGGAGGACGGUACCUGACUAAGAAGCCCCGGCUAACUACGUGCCAGCAGCCGCGGUAAUACGUAGGGGGCAAGCGUUAUCCGGAUUUACUGGGUGUAAAGGGGGCGCAGACGGCAGCGUAAGCCAGGAGUGAAAGCCCGGGGCCCAACCCCGGGACUGCUCUUGGAACUGCGCGGCUGGAGUGCAGGAGGGGCAGGCGGAAUUCCUGGUGUAGCGGUGAAAUGCGUAGAUAUCAGGAGGAACACCGGUGGCGAAGGCGGCCUGCUGGACGACAACUGACGGUGAGGCGCGAAAGCGUGGGGAGCAAACAGGAUUAGAUACCCUGGUA